GGGGAAUAUUGGGCAAUGGGCGCAAGCCUGACCCAGCAACGCCGCGUGAAGGAAGAAGGCUUUCGGGUUGUAAACUUCUUUUGUCAGGGACGAAUCAAUGACGGUACUUGACGAAUAAGCCACGGCUAACUACGUGCCAGCAGCCGCGGUAAUACGUAGGUGGCAAGCGUUAUCCGGAUUUACUGGGUGUAAAGGGCGUGUAGGCGGGACUGCAAGUCAGGCGUGAAAACCAGAGGCCCAACCUCUGGCCUGCGUUUGAAACUGUAGUUCUUGAGUGCUGGAGAGGCAAUCGGAAUUCCGUGUGUAGCGGUGAAAUGCGUAGAUAUACGGAGGAACACCAGUGGCGAAGGCGGAUUGCUGGACAGUAACUGACGCUGAGGCGCGAAAGCGUGGGGAGCAAAC
rnacentral:rRNA from 1 species